UUCCUCGUGGCCCAAUGGCAAGGCGUUCGCCUACGAUUGCGUCACUAGCGAAAGAUUCCAGGUUCGACCCCUGGCGGGGAAG
rnacentral:tRNA from 1 species